rnacentral:rRNA from 1 species
CGCAGCCGCGGUAAUUCCAGCUCCAAUAGCGUAUAUUAAAGUUGUUGCAGUUAAAAAGCUUGUAGUUGAAUUUCGGGGUUAGUAGGUUGGUCAUGCCUCUGGUAUGUACUGGUCUCACUGAUUCCUCCUUCCUGAUGAGCCGUAAUGCCAUUAAUUUGGUGUUGCGGGGAAUUUGGACUGUUACUUUGAAAAAAUUAGAGUGUUUAAAGCAGGCUCACGCUUGAAUACAUUAGCAUGGAAUAAUGAAAUAGGACGUUUGAUCCUAUUUUGUUGGCUUCUAGGAUUGACGUAAUGAUUAAUAGGGAUAGUUGGGGGCAUUAGUAUUCAAUUGUCAGAGGUGAAAUUCUUGGAUUUAUUGAAGACUAACUACUGCGAAAGCAUUUGCCAAGGAUGUUUUCAUUAAUCAAGAACGAAAGUUAGGGGAUCGAAGACGAUCAGAUACCGUCGUAGUCUUAACCAUAAACUAUGCCGACUAGGGAUCGGAUGAUGUUAAUUUUUUAAUGACUCAUUCGGCGUCCG